rnacentral:rRNA from 1 species
AGCGAACGCUGGCGGCGUGCCUAACACAUGCGAGUCGAACGUGAAAAGGGAAACCUGAGUAAAGUGGCGUACGGGUGAGUAACGCGUAGGUAAUCUACCCCAGAAUCUGGAAUAACCUGCCGAAAGGCGGGCUAAUACUGGAUAGAGCGAGGGAACUCGUAAGAGAGUUUUUCGGGAAAGGGAGCCCGCAAGGGCCUUCGUUCUGGGAUGAGCCUGCGUCUCAUUAGCUAGUUGGUAAGGUAACGGCUUACCAAGGCGAUGAUGAGUAGCUGGUCUGAGAGGAUGAUCAGCCACACUGGAACUGAAACACGGUCCAGACUCCUACGGGAGGCAGCAGUGGGGAAUCUUGCGCAAUGGACGAAAGUCUGACGCAGCCACGCCGCGUGAGUGAAGAAGGCCUUCGGGUUGUAAAGCUCUGUCGGAUGGGACGAACAUCUUCAUAGUGAAUAGCUAUGAGGACUGACGGUACCAUCAAAGGAAGCACCGGCUAACUCCGUG